GACGAACGCUGGCGGCGUGCUUAACACAUGCAAGUCGAGCGGUAAGGCCCUUUCGGGGGUACACGAGCGGCGAACGGGUGAGUAACACGUGGGUGACCUGCCCUCAGCUCUGGGAUAAGCCUGGGAAACUGGGUCUAAUACCGGAUAUGACUCCAUGACGCAUGUUGUGGGGUGGAAAGCCUUGUGCGGCUGAGGAUGGGCCCGCGGCCUAUCAGCUUGUUGGUGGGGUGANGGCCUACCAAGGCGACGACGGGUAGCCGGCCUGAGAGGGCGACCGGCCACACUGGGACUGAGACACGGCCCAGACUCCUACGGGAGGCAGCAGUGGGGAAUAUUGCGCAAUGGGCGAAAGCCUGACGCAGCGACGCCGCGUGAGGGACGAAAGUCUUCGGAUUGUAAACCCCUUUCGGGAGGGAAGAUGGAACGAGCAAUCGUUCGGACGGUACCUCCAGAAGCAGCCACGGCUAACUUCGUGCCAGCCGCCGCCGUAAU
rnacentral:rRNA from 1 species